rnacentral:rRNA from 1 species
AUUCACUAGUGAUUCAGGGCUAACGCAUGCAAGUCGAACGCACUUCUUUUCACCGGAGCUUGCUCCGCCGAAAAGAAGUGAGUGGCAAAAAAAAAGAGUAACACGUGGGCAACCUGCCCACCAGAGGGGGAUAACACUUGGAAACAGGUGCUAAUACCGCAUAAUGGCUUUUGCCGCAUGGCGAAAGUAUGAAAGACGGUUCGGUGGCACUGGUGGAUGGGCCCGCGGUGCAUUAGUUAGUGGGUGGGGUAACGGCCUACCAAGACCAUGAUGCAUAGCCGACCUGAGAGGGUGAUCGGCCACACUGGGACUGGGACACGGCCCAGACUCCUACGGGAGGCAGCAGUAGGGAAUCUUCGGCAAUGGACGA